rnacentral:rRNA from 1 species
CCUACGGGUGGCUGCAGUGGGGAAUAUUGGACAAUGGGCGAAAGCCUGAUCCAGCCAUGCCGCGUGUGUGAAGAAGGCCUUCGGGUUGUAAAGCACUUUCAGUGGGGAAGAAAGCCUUGGGGCUAAUACCCUCGAGGAAGGACAUCACCCACAGAAGAAGCACCGGCUAACUCCGUGCCAGCAGCCGCGGUAAUACGGAGGGUGCGAGCGUUAAUCGGAAUUACUGGGCGUAAAGCGCGCGUAGGCGGUCUGAUAAGCCGGUUGUGAAAGCCCCGGGCUCAACCUGGGAACGGCAUCCGGAACUGUCAGGCUAGAGUGCAGGAGAGGAAGGUAGAAUUCCCGGCGUAGCGGUGAAAUGCGUAGAGAUCGGGAGGAAUACCAGUGGCGAAGGCGGCCUUCUGGACUGACACUGACGCUGAGGUGCGAAAGCGUGGGUAGCAAACAGGAUUAGAUACCCUAGUAGUC